rnacentral:rRNA from 1 species
UACGUAGGGGCCUAGCGUUGUCCGGAAUUAUUGGGCGUAAAGGGCGCGUAGGCGGCUCUGCACGUCCGUUGUGAAAUCGCCCGGCUCAACUGGGCGGGGUCAGCGGAUACGGCAGAGCUUGAGCAAGCUAGGGGGCAAUGGAAUUCCCGGUGUAGUGGUGGAAUGCGUAGAUAUCGGGAGGAACACCAGUGGCGAAGGCGGUUGCCUGGGGCUUUGCUGACGCUGAUGCGCGAAAGCGUGGGGAGCGAUCCGG